UUUUUAUCUAAUGCUAUAUGCCAUAGGUCAACUAUAUUUGGUGUAUGGAAAUAUUUUAUGAUCUUUAUGUCAGUCGAGCAGGUUUUAUUUAACCGUGACCUCAUUUUCCACGGUUCAUUGCACAGUGUUAAGUUUUUGUGUUUUGGUCUAUUUUUCUUAAACUAUAAGUAAUGGGUCAACUAUAUAUGUUGUAUAGAAGCAUUGUUAGCUGUACCUGUCUGCCUGGCAUGGUUCAUCUGACCUGGACCUCUUUUUCAAGGUUCAUUGGUCUUUGUUUAGUUAUCUUGGUUAAUGUUAAGUUUAUGUGACAGUUGUAAUAAAGCUUAGCUUUAUACUUAGGACUAUCAACAUAACAUCAAUGAUUAGUAUAGAAGGCGAGACAUUUCAGCGUGUGCACUCUUGUUCUUGGUUAUAAAUUAUAUAACAUUUUUCAUUUUGUGGCCUUUUAAAGCUUACUGUUGUCAUAUGGGUUUUGUUCACUUGAAGGAUCCAGGAUGUACAAUGUCACCUAAAGGUAGUUUGAACUUACAACUGUAGUUCACAGUCUAGUGGCCCACAUCAACGUCAUGUCUAUUUUCAGCUAUCUUGGAUACAUCAUAUAAAGAGGGGGCAGGACCAUUUUCGGGACGUCGGGAUUGGGUGUUUUUAAGCUCAGGAUUUCUGGUAUUCUGUUUUUCGAAAUUCAGGAUUUUGAGAUUUAAAUUGCUUUAAAUUAGGGACCUCAGGAUUUCAUGUUUUUAAGCCCAGAAUUUUGGGAUCAGUACCCCUCCACUCCCCCCUCUAUAAAUGCCUUUAAAAAAAAAUAAUAAAAAAAAUGGAAUUUCCUAAUUUUAUAUUUAACUUAUCCAUACAGCUGUCAUUUGACACGGAUAAGUUUUCCAUUGAAUAAUCUCAUUGCUACAUAAUUAAUGUACUUAUCGG
rnacentral:lncRNA from 1 species